GACGAACGCUGGCGGCGUGCCUAAUACAUGCAAGUUGAGCGCUGAAGGUUGGUACUUGUACCGACUGGAUGAGCAGCGAACGGGUGAGUAACGCGUGGGGAAUCUGCCUUUGAGCGGGGGACAACAUUUGGAAACGAAUGCUAAUACCGCAUAAAAACUUUAAACACAAGUUUUAAGUUUGAAAGAUGCAAUUGCAUCACUCAAAGAUGAUCCCGCGUUGUAUUAGCUAGUUGGUGAAGUAAAGGCUCACCAAGGCGAUGAUACAUAGCCGACCUGAGAGGCUGUGCGGCCACAGUGGGACUGGGACACGGCCCAAACGCCUACGGGAGGCAGCAGUAGGGAAGCUUCGGCAAUGGGCGAAAGUCUGACCGAGCAACGCCGCGUGAGUGAAGAAGGUGUUCGGAUCGUAAAACUCUGUUGGUAGAGAAGAACGGUGGUGAGAGUGGAAAGCUCAUCAAGUGGCGGUAACUACCCAGAAAGGGACGGCUAACUACGUGCCAGCAGCCGCCGUAA
rnacentral:rRNA from 1 species